rnacentral:rRNA from 1 species
UACGAAGGGGGCUAGCGUUGCUCGGAAUCACUGGGCGUAAAGGGUGCGUAGGCGGGUCUUUAAGUCAGGGGUGAAAUCCUGGAGCUCAACUCCAGAACUGCCUUUGAUACUGAAGAUCUUGAGUUCGGGAGAGGUGAGUGGAACUGCGAGUGUAGAGGUGAAAUUCGUAGAUAUUCGCAAGAACACCAGUGGCGAAGGCGGCUCACUGGCCCGAUCACUGACGCUGAGGCGCGAAAGCUAGGGGAGCAAACGGG